rnacentral:tRNA from 1 species
GCUCAGUCGGUAGAGCAUGGGACUCUUAAUCCCAGAGUCGUGGGUUNGGGCCCCAU